UACAGAGGUCCCAAGCGUUGUUCGGAUUCACUGGGCGUAAAGGGUGCGUAGGCGGUCGGGUAAGUCUGACGUGAAAUCCCGCAGCUUAACUGCGGAACUGCGUCGGAUACUAUUCGGCUAGAGGAAUGGAGGGGAGACUGGAAUUCUCGGUGUAGCAGUGAAAUGCGUAGAUAUCGAGAGGAACACCAGUGGCGAGGGCGAGUCUCUGGACAUUUCCUGACGCUGAGGCACGAAAGCCAGGGGAGCAAACGGG
rnacentral:rRNA from 1 species